rnacentral:rRNA from 1 species
CCUAGGGUGGCAGCAGUGGGGAAUAUUGGACAAUGGGCGAAAGCCUGAUCUAGCCAUGCCGCGUGUGUGAAGAAGGCCUUCGGGUUGUAAAGCACUUUCAGUGGGGAAGAAAGCCUUGGGGCUAAUACCCUCGAGGAAGGACAUCACCCACAGAAGAAGCACCGGCUAACUCCGUGCCAGCAGCCGCGGUAAUACGGAGGGUGCGAGCGUUAAUCGGAAUUACUGGGCGUAAAGCGCGCGUAGGCGGUCUGAUAAGCCGGUUGUGAAAGCCCCGGGCUCAACCUGGGAACGGCAUCCGGAACUGUCAGGCUAGAGUGCAGGAGAGGAAGGUAGAAUUCCCGGUGUAGCGGUGAAAUGCGUAGAGAUCGGGAGGAAUACCAGUGGCGAAGGCGGCCUUCUGGACUGACACUGACGCUGAGGUGCGAAAGCGUGGGUAGCAAACAGGAUUAGAUACCCGUGUAGUC